rnacentral:tRNA from 1 species
AUUUAAGUAGUUUAAAAAAAAAUAAAGGAUUGUGAUUUCUUAGAUAUCAAUAUGUCUUAAAUU